ACAGCAAGUCUGGCUAGAGUUUCUCAAGGGUGUGCCCAUGGGGAUUAGUGGAAAGAGCUCUGUGCUUGGGUUGGGUGGUUUGCCCACUCCACCUUUUAUUCUCCUUGGGUGGUUCAUAGGAAGAGGCCAAGAGAGAGAGAAGGAUGCUGUAUUUAUGGGAAAAGGCUACCAGAAUUUCCAUCCGAGGUUGGUGGUCCAUUCCUCUACCUAUGUGGAAGGCAGGUUCUCCUUGACAAUAGCCAGGUCUGCAUGUGUCUUCCACUCAAUCUACAACGUAUCCACGGAGAGUGACCUUGUACUCAGUACUCAGUACUCCAGCCCCUUGGCUGGAGUUAGCUCUGCCCGCUCCACCCCUGUGCCUUUUCUGGCCCACUUGAAAUUUGAUGUCUUGGGUUGUAGCCUAUUUUUAAGGUUGAGUCUCACUCUUAGACUAUGAGCUCUUGAAAAAUAAUAACUGUGUCUUAUUUGUCUUUGCUCUUCCACUUACAUAUAGGAACUACUAAUGACAUUUAGCAAAUGUCUCUUUAUCUUUUGAUGGAGCAGAGAGAGGUCUGAGGAUGAACUGCUUUCAUCUUCUCGCUGUGUGAUCUUGCACGGGUCCUUUCCUAUCCCUCCUCUGCCACUCUUCUAGGACCGAAGGGGUUCGAGGGUGACCUUUCUGGCCACUUGCAAUUGCUAAGAGUGUAUUGAUUUGAGAAUUAAAGGAACGUGGCUCUUGAAAUGUGUGUGCGGUAGAGGCCAUCCAAAAUAGCUAAUGAAGAAACAUCCUGGGGAUUACGCCAAGUUCACAACGCAUUUUAAUGAGCCGUGAGUGUGUGUGAAUGCGUGUGUCGACCACAUGCACAUUGAUGGCUGUGGCAGGGAGGACGCUGUUUCUGAGAGUAGAGUCCUCACUUCUGAGAAACUUACAGAAGGUGGAACAGAUCACGCCGUAUUUCAUAGCAGCCUAAUUCUGACAUGCAUCUGCAAGCCUCAUAAGUCGUGGUUUGGUCGGUGCUGCCCAUCAAAUCAACUUCCUGAACUUGUUUUCAUCUGAACUCCAAGGCAGCCCAGGCGCGGGGGGAGCGCAAUCGCUCGUGUCUGACUGGCUGCCUCUGAAGUCGUCCGUUACCAGUAGUCUGUUUAGAAGGUGGAUUGUUAAUUGUUUGAUUUUUCUGCCAACAGGAUUCCCUGCAAAUUAGAAUUGUAAUCGCUGUGGGUAUUUCCUGAAUUAAAAGAAAAUAUAUAAUAAAAUAAAUAAAUAUUA